rnacentral:rRNA from 1 species
UCCAGACUCCUACGGGAGGCAGCAGUGAGGAAUAUUGGUCAAUGGGCGAGAGCCUGAACCAGCCAAGUCGCGUGAGGGAGUACUGCCCUAUGGGUUGUAAACCUCUUUUGUCGGGGAGCAAAAGCCGGACGUGUCCGGCUGUGAGAGUACCCGUAGAACAAGCAUCGGCUAACUCCGUGCCAGCAGCCGCGGUAAUACGGAGGAUGCGAGCGUUAUCCGGAUUUAUUGGGUUUAAAGGGUGCGCAGGCGGCACGGCAAGCCGGCGGUCAAAUCGCGGGGCUCAACCCCGCCCAGCCGUCGGAACUGCCGGGCUAGAGUGGGCGAGAAGUGCGCGGAAUGCGCGGUGUAGCGGUGAAAUGCAUAGAUAUCACGCAGAACCCCGAUUGCGAAGGCAGCAUACCGGCGCUCAACUGACGCUGAGGCACGAAAGUGCGGGUAUCGAACAGGAUUAGAUACCCCUGUAUAC